CAAACGACUCUCGGCAACGGAUAUCUCGGCUCUCGCAUCGAUGAAGAACGUCGAGUCUUUGAACGCAAGUUGCGCCCGAAGCCAUUAGGCCGAGGGCACGUCUGCCUGGGCGUCACGC
rnacentral:rRNA from 1 species